AAUCCUUGCGGCCGAAUAUCCAAGGUUUCCAGAGUAAAGCUGAUCUGCUCUGGGUAAGUCGGGGCCUAAGGAGAGGCAGAGAUGCGUAUCCGAUGGACAGCAGGUUUAAGAUUCCUGCACCCCUUGUUAUCAGAACUGCGGGGACACGGGAAGGGAAGCAGAGCCGGGAAUGGAAAGCCCGGUGCAAGCGAAGGAGUCGCAGGGUUGGAAAAUCCGCCCUGCAUGAGACGAAGGCGUGAUGCGGAGCGAAAUGAAGUAGUGAAGCUGCGGCCCCUUCCUGUCGAGAAAAGCCGCUAUCGUGUAGCAAGGGCCCGUACCGUAAACCGACACAGGUGGAUGAGGAGAGGAUCCUAAGGCCGGCGGGAGAAGUGUUGUUAAGGAACUCGGCAAAAUGACUCCGUAACUUCGGGAGAAGGAGUGCUGCGCAAGCAGCCGCAGAGAAAUGGCCCAAGCAACUGUUUAGCAAAAACACAGGUCUAUGCGAAACCGAAGGUGAGGUAUAUGGGCUGACGCCUGCCCGGUGCUGGAAGGUUAAGGGGAGAGCUUAGCGCGAGCGAAGGUUUGAACUUAAGCCCCAGUAAACGGCGGCCGUAACUAUAACGGUCCUAAGGUAGCGAAAUUCCUUGUCGGGUAAGUUCCGACCCGCACGAAAGGCGUAAUGAUUUGGGCACUGUCUCAACAACACACCCGGUGAAAUUGAAAUACCAGUGAAGAUGCUGGUUACCCGCGCCAGGACGGAAAGACCCCAUGGAGCUUUACUCCAGCCUGAUACUGGGAUUCGGUAUUGCAUGUACAGGAUAGGUGGGAGGCUAAGAACUCAUGGCGCCAGCCGUGAGGGAGCCGAUGUUGGGAUACCACCCCUGCAGUACUGGGUUUCUAACCUGCGCCCGUGACCCGGGCGGGGGACAAUGUCAGGCGGGGAGUUUGACUGGGGCGGUCGCCUCCGAAAGGGUAUCGGAGGCGCUCAAAGGUCUCCUCAGGAUGGUUGGAAACCAUCCAGAGAGUGCAAAGGCAGAAGGAGGCUUGACUGCGACACCGACGGGUGGAGCAGGUACGAAAGUAGGACUUAGUGAUCCGGUGGCAUAAAGUGGGAUUGCCAUCGCUCAACGGAUAAAAGCUACCCUGGGGAUAACAGGCUUAUCACUCCCAAGAGUUCACAUCGACGGAGUGGUUUGGCACCUCGAUGUCGGCUCAUCGCAUCCUGGAGCUGGAGCAGGUUCCAAGGGUUGGGCUGUUCGCCCAUUAAAGCGGUACGCGAGCUGGGUUCAGAACGUCGUGAGACAGUUCGGUCCCUAUCCGGCGCGGGCGCAGGAUAUCUGAGAGGAGCUGUCCUUAGUACGAGAGGACCGGGAUGGACCGUCCGCUGGUGGACCGGUUGUCAUGCCAAUGGCACGGCCGGGUAGCCAAGACGGGAAGGGAUAAACGCUGAAGGCAUCUAAGCGUGAAGCCCCCCUCAAGAUGAGAUAUCCAUACUCGAAAGAGUGAGAGACCCCUUAGAGACGAUGAGGUAGAUAGGGCAGAGAUGGAAGCACAGCGAUGUGUGGAGUUGACUGUUACUAAUCGGUCGAAAGCUUGACCUU
rnacentral:rRNA from 2 species